rnacentral:misc_RNA from 1 species
UGGUUCUCGCAUCGAUGAAGAACGCAGCGAAAUGCGAUAAGUAAUGUGAAUUGCAGAAUUCAGUGAAUCAUCGAAUCUUUGAACGCACAUUGCGCCCUGUGGUAUUCCGCAGGGCAUGCCUGUUCGAGCGUCAUUAUACCCCUCAAGCCUAGCUUGGUGUUGGAGCCCGCGACUCGCGGCUCCCAAACAGAAUAGCAGUCUAAGCAAGACCCUAAGCGUAGUAAACUUCUCGCUUCUGGGCUUCGCAGUGCCUUGCUAAACCCCAUUUUUCAGGUUGACCUCGGAUCAGGUAGGGAUACCCGCUGA